rnacentral:rRNA from 1 species
GAUGAACGCUGGCGGCGUGCCUAACACAUGCAAGUCGAACGGACAGGCCCUGCUUUUGUGGGUCGCUCGAGUGGCGCACGGGUGUGUAACACGCGUGUAACCUGUCCUUGUAUUUGUGAUAACAUUAGGAAAAUGGGGCUAAUACCCCAUAGGAUCUCCUGCAGCACGGUGGGGGUUGGUAAGAUUCGGCGGUUGGGGAUGGAUUCGCGGCUUAUCCGCUUGUUGGUGGGGUUGUGGCGUACAAAGCGUUUGACGGGUAGCCGGCCUGGGAGGGUGACCGGCGACAUUGGGACUGAGAGAGGGAGCAGACGCCAACGGGAGGCAGCAGUGGGGAGUAUUGCAGAGCGGCCGGGAGCCAGUUGCAGCAACGUCGGGUGCGUGAUGACGGCCUUUUGGGGAUAAACCGCUGUCGACGUUAACAUGGCGGGAGUGACGGUAAUGAGUAAAGAAGCACCGGCUAACUACGUG